UCGAUGUCGAGCUCUUCAUCUUCCCCGAAACCCGAUCGCCUUCCCCCAACCCGAUGGCGCCACCCUCGUUUCCUCUUCUCCCACGAGUACAAAACCUAUCCCUCUCCCUUGCAUCGUCGCCCUUCCAUCCUUCUCCACCUCAUGCCGACCCCCCCUUCCGAUCUCCCUGUGUGCCGCUGCGGACCACCACGGACCCACAAUAGGUCGUCGCAGGCCGAAGCUGACCGCCACGACCCGACACCAGUCGCUAGAAGCCAAGCACCAUCUUCUUUCCCGACGUGUCGCCGACGUCGAUUGACGGCUGGCCUCGUGCCCUAGUUGUUCCUCUUCACCAUCGGCUACUGUGGGUCGACGCCAAAGCAUAGGCGUUGUCGUUGGCCCCAUUCUGGCUACAAGUCUUCAUCUUUCCUUCGGUCGUGACCUAGUUUUGGAUCCACAACCGUCUCUGUCUCCGUCCGAGCCCAACUCAGCCAUCGGUCGCCACUCUUUCAACCAUAGGAAGACCCAACCUAUAACACUACAACCCUGUUGAAUUUCGUCCAUUAAGUAUUGAUUUAUGGUACUUGACAUAAAGCGUAGAAGCUUCACCUAACUUUACUUCGGUUGUAACCUCCAGUCGCACCUUCUUCAACUGAGAGUUAGCAGAGAUGUCGCUUAUUUGGGGACAUUGAUUUGGGGAGAGGAUCACGACGUGAAGUUUAUUUCAGAUACUAUCUCCAUUUUUUAGGUUAAGGCUGUCAAGAGGUUCAAGUCGCUAGUCCCCCACCUCGUGUAGAUAUGGUUUUCUACUUUCAGACUUUGUUUCCUUGUUUUGUGAUCUACAUGCGUGUGAUGUGUAUAUCUUGUACUCAUGAAUUUUAUAUCGAGUUUUGGUCUACUACCCUUGUUUUCCAUUGUGAUGGUUUUCCGUUGUGGGUUGUGUUUUCCUCGAGUAGUGGAGUAGAUUUUAUAAUAAACUGCGUG